rnacentral:rRNA from 1 species
GUGACUAUGCGACGCCGCGUGCAGGAUGAAGGCCUUCGGGUUGUAAACUGCUGUCAGGGGGGAAGAAACCUUACGUGUGAAUAACAUGUAAGCUGACAUCACCCCCAAAGGAAGCCACGGCUAACUCUGUGCCAGCAGCCGCGGUAAGACAGAGGUGGCAAGCGUUGUUCGGAUUUAUUGGGUGUAAAGGGCAGGUAGGCGGUCAUGUAAGUCCGGUGUGAAAUCCCAGGGCUCAACCCUGGAACUGCAUUGGAUACUGCUUGACUUGAGUAUCGGAGAGGUGAAGGGAAUUCUCGGUGUAAGGGUGAAAUCUGUAGAUAUCGAGAGGAACACCAGUGGCGAAGGCGCUUCACUGGCCGAUUACUGACGCUGAGCUGCGAAAGCAAGGGGAGCAAACAGGAUUAGAUACCCUGGUAGUCCUUGCCGUAAACGAU